rnacentral:rRNA from 1 species
GAUGAACGCUGGCGGCGUGCCUAAUACAUGCAAGUCGAGCGAACGGACGAGAAGCUUGCUUUUCUGAUGUUAGCGGCGGACGGGUGAGUAACACGUGGAUAACCUACCUAUAAGACUGGGAUAACUUCGGGAAACCGGAGCUAAUACCGGAUAAUAUUUUGAACCGCAUGGUUCAAAAGUGAAAGACGGUCUUGCUGUCACUUAUAGAUGGAUCCGCGCUGCAUUAGCUAGUUGGUAAGGUAACGGCUUACCAAGGCAACGAUGCAUAGCCGACCUGAGAGGGUGAUCGGCCACACUGGAACUGAGACACGGUCCAGACUCCUACGGGAGGCAGCAGUAGGGAAUCUUCCGCAAUGGGCGAAAGCCUGACGGAGCAACGCCGCGUGAGUGAUGAAGGUCUUCGGAUCGUAAAACUCUGUUAUUAGGGAAGAACAUAUGUGUAAGUAGCUGUGCACAUCUUGACGGUACCUAAUCAGAAAGCCACGGCUAACUACGUG